UGGUUUUGCCGCUGUGAAAAAUAUAUUGUAAUGAAGAAAAUUCAAGAACAUUUAUUUCUCUUGAUGUUGAUCCAUUGACACAGAGGCACUUACUGAACUUAACUAAAAAGGUUGAUGGUGUGUUGAAUGAAUUCCAACUCCCCACAUUUUAUGAGACUCCUUCAUUUCAUAUGAGUGUCCUGUGGGUAAAUGGUAAUAAGAAAUUAGAACUCGAAAGUAUUUUAGAAGAGUUAAAUGAAUUGUUUUAUGAAAAUAUUGAAAAAUCGCCAAAACAUUUUUAGUUGAUACAGUGAAUUGUAAAAGUGGUAACAAGUAUUUUCAAUAUUCUUUGAGUUAAAAUGGAACAUCAAACUAAAUCAAGUGUUUAUUCCCAUGACAGUGGUAGCAACAAAGUUUAUGUAAAUCGAAAUUUUAGUAAAGGCCAUCAAAAUAGCUCUACCUCCAAUUCUAUAAUGCAUGUAAAUCCAAAAUUCUCAUAUCUUAUAUCAAAUGCCCAGGGUAACACACAAACUAAAAACAAAAUCUAUGUUAAUCCUAAUUUCAUUAAACCUAGUAGUACUUCUGAGAUUAAUCCUAAUGCAUCAACAAGAACUAAAUCAACUAUUUAUAAUACACAAAAUGCAAUUUCUAUGACUUACCAGUCCCAUCAAAAGGCUUUAGAAAAUAAUACAAAUGCGGUACUUCAGGUACCACUUUCACGGUCUCGCUAUUGUUUAGUGAGACACACAGUAAAAAAUAAAGAUGUCGAACAGCCAAUGCCUUCUAAAGUAAAAAGUACGUUCAAGAUAAGCAAAUACAAAUCUGUACCAUGGAAUGAUGUAAAAAGAAAUCUAGAAGACGCCAAAACUGUUUCGAUAAAUGCCAUAAAUUUCUCCUCACACAUAAAUAAGAAUGUUAAUACAUUCUUCCGAACCUAUCCGUUGCGGCUCAGAUGGUGGUUUUUAGCGUUGCCGUUUUGUGCAUUUAUGUUUGUAUUUGACGAAUUUCGAAAAUAUUGCAUUAGAAGAGAACUUUUUGGAGGAUGGUAUAACAGGUUGACAUUUUAUUAAAUCCAAUAAAGAACAUCCGAAAAUGUAUGCAACUGUCUCAGCUAAUUGCUAUGGUGAUACGAUAUUGCUAAACUAAUAUUAAAUGUAGGUGGUUAAUUAAAUGUUACAAAAUAAAACAAACAUAUCCAGGGCUUUGAUUUUUUCUGGAAUUUUACUUUAUUUUUGAUCCCACACAUACUCAGAUCUCUAAAUAAUAAAAGUUUAACAAUCAUUAAGUACCUAAUAUAAUGAGCAAAAUAACAAAAUUACAUAUCAGAAUCAG